rnacentral:rRNA from 1 species
UACGGAGGGUGCAAGCGUUGCUCGGAUUUAUUGGGCGUAAAGCGCGUGUAGGCGGUUUCUUAAGUCUGAUGUGAAAGCCCUGGGCUCAACCCAGGAAGUGCAUUGGAUACUGGGAGACUUGAAUACGGGAGAGGGUAGUGGAAUUCCUAGUGUAGGAGUGAAAUACGUAGAGAUUGGGAAGAACACCAGUGGCGAAGGCGGCUAUCUGGACGGUUUCUGACGCUAAGACGCGAAAGCGUGGGGAGCAAACAGG